rnacentral:rRNA from 1 species
AUACGAACUGUGCAAACGUUAUUCGGAAUCACUGGGCUUAAAGGGUGCGUAGGCGGGUUUGAAGGUCUGAUGUGAAAGCCCACGGCUCAAUCGUGGAAUUGCGUUGGAAACCACAAGCCUUGAGGGAGUCAGAGGUGAGCGGAACUAAUGGUGGAGCGGUGAAAUGCGUUGAUAUCAUUAGGAACACCGGUGGCGAAAGCGGCUCACUGGGACUCUUCUGACGCUGAGGCACGAAAGCUAGGGGAGCGAACGGGAUUAGAAACCCCAGUAGUCC